rnacentral:lncRNA from 1 species
CAGAGAGGAGGAACCAAGAGCAAGGCUGGGUCUUGCAUAUCUCCAUGGAUGUGCAAAUACCUAGGUUACUUGUGGAGAGCAAGUGGGGUUGGGGUGGGGGAAGAGACAGACACCAGACCACAAAAACCCUAGUGGGUUACACUGACUUCUGAUGUCAGUCUGAUUGUCAGGGGCACACGGAGUUUGAAACCAGGCAGAGGUAUGGUGCUACUGCUGCUGCUUUAGAAGGACCCAGAGGCCUGGAGAGUGGGGCCUUGGAGGAGGAGGCCCAUCACGAACAUCAACCGGCAGGUGGAGCUCUGGCAGCCAUUGAAGUUCGGGAUAGUGAUCAGGAGGAGGGGGACUGCAGAAGGAAAUCGGGAAUGAUAAAUAGCUGGGGGAGUAAAGCUAUCAGAGAGUGAGACUCUGGAGACCCCAUUGCAAGGGGAAGGUGUGGACUGUUUCAGGAAAGGAAGAGGGGUCGUUUAGAGGUGCUGAGGCACGAAGACGAAUCCCUGGCCUUCGUCUGAAAUAUGUUUGUUUUGCUUCUGCAGAUGCACGUGGAAUGGCUGCUAUGAAGUGAGUUGUGUCUACUGAAAGUGGGUUCUCUUGGGGAAGAAACCUACUUUUGGGUUUCCAGUUUAUGACAGCAAGUAGGACGUCUGCAAUCCUAGGUCAGCAGAUCUACCUUCCUGCCUACCCUAGCAACACAUUCGUCAGAGGAGAUUCUUCUGCAUGCAUUCUGCGUACACGUUGUUCAAUAUUAGAAACCAUGAUUUUUGGCUUAAGUCACCCUCAAUUCUGUUUCUGGUAGACGGCAGCAUAUA